GAUGAACGCUAGCGGCAGGCUUAAUACAUGCAAGUCGAGGGGCAGCACGGUUGGCAAUAACUGGUGGCGACCGGCGCACGGGUGCGUAACACGUAUACAAUCUACCUUAAACAGGGGGAUAGCCUUUCGAAAGAGAGAUUAAUACCCCGUAAUAAAUUGAACGGCAUCGUUUGAUUUUGAAAGCUCCGGCGGUUUGAGAUGAGUAUGCGUCUGAUUAGCUAGUUGGUGAGGUAACGGCUCACCAAGGCGACGAUCAGUAGGGGAUCUGAGAGGAUUAACCCCCACACUGGUACUGAGACACGGACCAGACUCCUACGGGAGGCAGCAGUAAGGAAUAUUGGUCAAUGGAGGCAAACUCUCGAACCAGCCAUGCCGCGUGCAGGAUGAC
rnacentral:rRNA from 1 species